rnacentral:lncRNA from 1 species
AGGUAGCCACCGUGGUGGUUCCAGUGGUGGAAACUUGUGGUGGUGGUGCUGCUCCACUUAUUGUCGCAUUUAGCCUCACGGAUCUCCACAAUCCCAUUUCUUGAAUAUUAGAAUUUUCACUUGUGGAAUUUUCUAAAUUUCUAGCCAUUAUAUUUUUUCUUAUACGUUUUAUCAAAGAACAUUUGCAAGUAAAAAAUUCUAAUAAUAAGAACGUAUGAAAAAUAUUCAAAUGGACUAGAAAAUAAAGAAAAAACCUUUUUGUGCGAGAGUCUUCUACGAGUAUGGAUUUCAACUCUAAAUGAAAUCACCAAUUUGUGGAUGCAAAUUUUCUCCUCCUCGAUCUUGAACGAUUUUGCACCUACAAAACAACUAGCACCUUAGGUUAAGGUCAAAAGCCUCACGGGCCCACGAUUAAUGGGGGGGGCUUUGGCCGAAGAACCUUUGAUGCCAAAGUUAGAAUUUUAGAGAGAAAUAGUAAGUAUUUGGGAUUUUUUGUAAGAGAAUUGGAAUGACUUUUUGGUGAGAAUAGGUGCCUAUUUAUAGGAUUAAGCUU